AGUAUCAAUGCAACUUUUCUAAGUUUGUAUGUACUUUCUAAGUAUAUCUUAGACACCAAUGACUGUGUUUCGGAUGGUCCGUUACACUGUAGGUCCCGGUUGUCAUUGAACAUCCUUGGCAGUCGUUACGGGUAGUCAGAAGCCAGUAAGUCUGACACCAGUCUAACCAAGGGGUAUCGGGUUGCCCGGGUAACUGGGUUUAGGAGGUCGGAUAGGCAGUCGCUUCUUGUAAAGCACUAGUACUCAGCUGAAUCCGGUUAGACUGGAAGCCGACCCCAACAUAGUUGGGUAUAAGGCUCCGAGGAUGGAUGAAUAUGUACCUAUAAUAUGUAUAUAAGCUGCAAUCGUAUGACUGUCUCAUUGGUCUAGCUGUCGCAAGCCCGGCUGCUGAGAACGAGAGGUCUCGGGUUCGAUUCCCGGGAUGGGCCGAAAUCGCUUUGGGUUUUAGAAACUUGCACAAAGCAGCCCGGAGUCUGGAAGUUGGUGAUUGAUACAUCCGUGCAUCGGAAAAUGUCGGUCCUGCGUCUGAUCUCUCUCCAGUCGUGUCGGAUUGCCGUCCCAUCGGGCUAUGAGAGUGAAGGAAUAGUGAGUGCACCUGUGUCUGCGCAAAUGCUUGUGCACUAUAAUGUGUCCUGCGCAGUUGGCUGAUCUCCGUAUAUGAGGACAGCCGCAGUAGCCGAUAAUCCUAUCCUAUAUAUCCUAGGAGGACAUCAUUAUCAUAUACUGCAAUGUUUCUAAGUGCAAUGCAAGAUUAAAGUUAUGCUAAAUCGAUAGAAGACUUUAUGUUGCACGUGCAUACCAGAUGCCGUGCUUUCAUUUUCGCCACAUCCAUUAACUAGCUAGAUCCAUCCAUUUGUCGUGUCGUGUGUAAGGCUCCUCCUAUAACCUACAGGAAUUUUUAACAAAGAUCAUCACUCUCAAUUCUUUUAGGAUUAUGUCCGUUAACAAGGACGGGACCCAACACAUUUUGAGGAUUAAUUUAUAUAGAUAGUUGACCGAUAUCAUGCCUUCAACGUACGAGAAUAGGCGUGUGAUAGCACGCUCACAACACGGGUGUAGCUAUCUGUCUCUCGCGCAACACAUGGCACAGAGAUAUACAGCGCAGCGUGCAGACAGACACGCGGCGACGCGACGCUCGCCACUCCGCCGGCAGAAGGGGCACUCCGAGGAACUGCGAUGAUGACGUGUCUCUUCAAAAUUGUGUCAGGGGGAUCUUGGGAUGUUACGCCACACGGGCACGCGCGCACGUGUGGCGCCGCGUGCCACUCCUCGGCGCGUCGCCAUCGUCUCCUGGCGGCUGGCGCACGAACUCCACAAGCUGCUCACUGCGAGGGCACAGUGGCUGACAGUGGCCACGCAGCACUCAUCGUUCACGAGUCAGUGGCACGAGAUUCGGCAUCCAUCCCGAUCCCAUCAACUCAGAAAACAUCUGUGAGAAGUUGGAAAAAGUACAUCGACAUCUCUCGUGCAUUAAGUAUGUAUGUACAUAUUUGCAAAAACUAGAUGGGUUAUGUACCCAUGUUGGGUUUAACUGAUUAAAAUUAUUCUUUUUUUAUCUGAAAGAAUACACGUUCAGGACUGAAGAUACGUAAAGUAAGUUUGGAAGAUGGGUAGGCCUUUAGUAUGGGACGCAUCCUACUUUACAAGUUUUGUGUGCGGUGGAGAACCUCAAGCGGUGGAAAUAGUGCCGUGGCCUUGUCGACAGCUAUGUUUUCGAACCGUUUGGGGUUGAAACCCUCAUGUCGUGGGGUCCAAAUGCCUACACCUACACCCUAUGUAAGGGAUGAUUUAUAUAAGGCCGGGCCGUGUCCAGGGCGUGCCCUGUACGCGGCUCGUACGGGGCACGGAUGUAAAACGUUACAUACAUUUUGUAUGAAGCAGUUUAUAUUAUACACAGUCUCGUCUUUAGGAUUUCGUAAAAGCCCGGGCCCGGCCUAAUAUAAAUCAACCCUUAAGUUCUAUCCAGGCGGCUGGCUGAUGCUUCUCGUGACCAGAAAGCUGGCUAUUACCACAGACAAAGGAUUAGCAUGGCCAUCCAACGAGGUAAUGCUGCCAGUCGAUAGCGAUGACAAAAAAAAGUCUCUCCCCACUUUAUGUUUACUAAAACCCUUUUUUCCACUUUGCGUGAUUGAUAUUGGUAAGUACAUAAUAUGUCAAUAGCGACAUUCAGCUCUCUAGUGCUAACGGUCACUGAGAUUUUCGGCGGACACUCGGAAUUCCUUGUUUACUACGGAACUCUAAUUACAAACUGCUGUAAGUAAACAAACAUAAGUAUGUAGGUACACCGGCGACGGGUUCACAAUCACAUGCACAGGUCACACAAGUCAGUCUAAAGAUCUUCAAUAAAAAAUCGUCGAGUAAGCACGGAUCCACGUGUAUGUGCGUGGGUUGUUACCCCACCAAUGAUCAUGAACCGGCAAAGAAUUAACGAAAUGUGUCACUUGAACAUAAUAGCGAUGUAUCUUAUACAUACCUAAUUAGAAAAGGUACAUAAUUGUUUGCAAGUGAUGCGGAGAGGCACGUGUAUUCCUCUCGCCUUGGGGAGACCAGCGGUUCGUCUGUAAAUGAGCAUUGAAGUCGGACUUCGGUCAGCCCGACUUGGAUGUAGUAGUUUAUUAGGUUUUUACUUUCUAAACCACCCAUAAGAAGGAGCCCUCCGAAGCGGCGCUCUGUCGACUUGCCUUAGAUUCACCAGGCCUUCAGAGUCAAAGCAAAAGUCGUUCUAUUUUUCAUCACUAUUAAAAGUACUAUUUUCUUAUUUUAUUUUACCAUCUCAUUGUUUAUAGAAUAACUAAGAAUGAGAUUUCUUACAACAAAUUCCGAUUUAUUAACUGCCCGCACGUAACUGCUCAUUCAAUUCAGUCAUACCGCUCAUUUAAUUAUUUUCCUGCUCGAUAUUUUUUCACUGAUCCAUUUUUUUUACUCAAUUUUGUUUACUACUUAGUUUUAACUGCCGAUAAAGUUAUUAAACUGCUACUUACAACGGCUUCUUAAAAACAAUGCCUUCUUAAAUAAGUAGUAAGUACAUCGAAGAUUGUUUACCUUUAGAUAAGAGCUUACUCAAAUGCAGUACCGAUAGGAAAUGUUUAUUUAUACGGAUUUCCUAUCCUAAAAAUAUAAGCAUGUGAUUGAAGCAAUCAAAAAACUUUUUCCAAAUUGCCUGGGGGGAACGAAUUGUAGGUAUAGAUAAAUUCAUAGUUCCUAGGAAAUGUAAUGGACUGGUCUGCCUUUAAGUUUUAGUAAAAGAUGGGCCUGAGUUGGUACUUUCCUGUAUAUCGUAUCAGUAAUGGCACGACUACUGGCAUCGCUCGCUACAGAUAAUCCCAUCAUCGGUCCGGACAGCGCUCGGCGGGAAUGAAUCAAACGCUGCGCGCGCAAGCGAUCAGCGCCCCGGUCACUCACCAGCUUAUACCUCUACAUGACAGGACACUAUCCUACUUAAAGUGUUCGUUUUAUCUAAGAAGAAAGAAAGAAAAUGAGUUUAUAUAGAAUAUAUCUAUACCUACAUACCUACAUGGUACUAAUAUUAUUAAGUUAGUGCCCUUAGGGCUCCGAAACUAUUGAACCGAUUUGAAGUUCUGUUAAUUUAGGCUAUAUUUUAUCCAGGUGCGGGAUAAACUGCGGGUAAGUCUUUACUAUGUGAGGAGUCGUUCAUACAACUGCGCAGUAACUUUUUAUUUUAGUUAUCUGUGACAACAUGCGCAUGGGUAAUAAUUUGGAACAAAACAAUCACGCCUGGCCCUAGCGACUGAACUGAGAAAGCACACAAACUAAAGAAACACACUACCAUCUUUGGUCGAUGUAUUUUUAUUUUUUUUAAGUUAUUCGUGUCGUCUUGAUUUCAGUCAGAAAAGAGUCUGUGUGAUCGGAUGUUAAUAUAAGAUACGAUUAUUGUAAUCUAAUCGUACCUAUCUAACCUUAUUGUAAUCCAAUCAUUCGACACGCCUCUGAGACGUCGAGCCACGCUUCAGUGUUCGUUGCGGGGUGUAAUGGUGUCCUGUGCCACAGUGUCGUCUCGCCUCUCGGGCUCAACACAUAGUCGUCGCACUGUCGCAGCUCGCUAUUCAGGCCAAAUGCACGUAGAUCGCGGUUAUCGCGUUAAAGCAGACGCGCGCACUCACCGAUCGCCUCGGUUUCGUGUUGACUGUUGAGCGAUUGGUUACAAAGAUUGUUUAUUGCAUCUGUUUUUCGUUGUUCAACUUUUAGCGUUGUUCGAGUUGCCUCACAAGCCGACCCAGUAGGCGGUAUUAAUCGCAUUUAGGAAGUUUCCCGUGGAAUGCCUACUAAUUCACUAGGUUUGUUUAACGUUAUGUGUGUGUGGUCGCCGGUUAGCGAGGUGCAUAUGUAGUGGCCUUAUCGUAGACUUGACCACUUCAUGAAAAGACUUUAUAAGAUUUCAUGAAAAGGUCCCGUUUCAUGAAGAAGUCGUGGUGGCCUAGUGGGCAAAGAACCAACCUCUCGAGUAUAAGGGCGCGGGUUCGAUUCCAGGUCAGGCAAGUACCAAUGCAACUUUUCUAAGUUUGUAUGUACUUUCUAAGUAUAUCUUAGACGCCAAUGACUGUGUUUCGGAUGGCACGUUAAACUGUAGGUCCCGGCUGUCAUUGAACAUCCUUGGCAGUCGUUACGGGUAGUCAGAAGCCAGUAAGUCUGACACCAGUCUAACCAAGGGGUAUUGGGUUGCCCGGGUAACUGGGUUGAGGGGGUCAGACAGGGCAGUCGCUCCUUGUAAAGCACUGGUACUCAGCUACAUCCGGUUAGACUGGAAGCCGACCCCAACGUAGUUUGGGAAAAAGGUUCGGAGGAUGU
rnacentral:lncRNA from 1 species